GUGAAGUUGAUCACAAGCAAACAUAUACCCCUUUGUUUGACCGUGAAAAAUUUCUCCCAUCCCCUUUGUUCGAAAGAAAAGCCCUCAUCAUUGAUGAGGGCUUUUCU
rnacentral:sRNA from 1 species